UACGAAGGUGGCUAGCGUUGUUCGGAAUCACUGGGCGUAAAGCGCGCGUAGGCGGCAAUACAAGUCAGAGGUGAAAUGCCGGGGCUUAACCCCGGAACUGCCUUUGAAACUGUAUUGCUAGAGUCUCGGAGGGGAUAGCGGAAUUCCUAAUGUAGAGGUGAAAUUCGUAGAUAUUAGGAGGAACACCUGUGGCGAAGGCGGCUAUCUGGACGAGUACUGACGCUGAGGCGCGAAAGCGUGGGGAGCAAACAGG
rnacentral:rRNA from 1 species